GGGAAAGGGGGGAGAAGGGGAGAGAAAGGGUGAGUAAAGGAGAUAAAAGACGAGAAGAGCAAGUCAGAGAGGUGGGUUUAUCUCGGAUUUUAGAAAUUCAACCUCAGCAAAAAGCUGAGGUUAGAUUUCUAAAAUCCGAGAUCAACCCACCUCUCUGACUUGCUCUUCGCGUUUUUUAUCUCCCCUACUCACCCUUUCUCUCCCCUUCUCCCCCCUUUCCCU
rnacentral:pre_miRNA from 1 species